AAGUCGUAACAAGGUUUCCGUAGGUGAACCUGCGGAAGGAUCAUUGGGGAGAGAUUGGAGAAGAGCGUUGGAAUGAACGAUUACACAUCUAUUACUACUACAACCAAUAUACACAACAACUGCUGACAAUGGAUCUCUGGGCUCUU
rnacentral:misc_RNA from 1 species